rnacentral:tRNA from 13 species
GGAUGGGUGGCAGAGCGGUUGAAUGCACCGCACUCGAAAUGCGGCAUACCCGCAAGGGUAUCGGGAGUUCGAAUCUCCCCCCAUCCGCCA